UACCCACAACAGUUACGGAGGCAAGGG
rnacentral:piRNA from 1 species